CCAGUGAUGAUAUGCUUGUUUCAAAGAUUAAGCCAUGCAAGUGCAAGUACAGCUGCCUAAAAACCAGUGAAACCGCAAAUGGCUCAUUAAAUCAGUCACGACGUGAAAGACUGUACCUUGCUUACUUGGAUAACCGUGGCAAUUCUAGAGCUAAUACAUGCCUCGAGUCUCCCUGUCGGCCGGCGACGGCGGGCAGGGAGCGCAAUUAUUAGACCAAGACCAAACCGGGCUCCGGCCCGGCGACGGCGUGGUGACUCUGGAUAAUUCUGCUCACGAUCGCACGGUCCCCAGUACCGGCGACGUAUCUUAUCGAUUGACUGCCCUAUCAACUGGAUGGUAGGUUAAACGCCAACCAUGGUUGUAACGGGUGACGGGGAAUCAGGGUUCGAUUCCGGAGAGGGAGCCUGAGAGACGGCUACCACAUCCAAGGAAGGCAGCAGGCACGCAAAUUACCCAAUCCCGGCACGGGGAGGUAGUGACGAAAAAUAACGAUGCGGGACUCUUACGAGGCCCCGCAAUCGGAAUGGGGGUUGCUCAGACAACCUAUCCCACGAACUAUUGGAGGGCAAGUCUGGUGCCAGCAGCCGCGGUAAUUCCAGCUCCAAUAGCAUAUAUCAGAGUUGUUGUGGUUAAAAAGCUCGUAGUUGGAUGUCAAUCGAGGCCCGGCGCACCGGUUCCGCCGUCCGGUACACCCGGACGGCGGUCGGAUAGCCGCCCGGAGCCGAGAUCAACCCCGGGUCGGCCGCCCCCGAUGCCCUUGACCGGGCGACGGUGGGUGAUUCGAGGUCGACCGGGUUACUCCGAAAAAAUCGGAGUGCUCGGAGCGUGGCGAAGGAGCCCGCACGCCCAAGCAUGGAAUAACGGAAUAGGACCUCCGGGUCUAUUCUGUUGGUCUCCGGACCUGCGGAGGUAAUGAUUGACGAGGACUGCCGGGGGCAUACGUAUUGCGGGGCGAGAGGUGAAAUUCUUGGACCCUCGCAAGACGACCUAGAGCGAAAGCAUUUGCCAAGAAUGUCUUUCUUAAUCAAGAACGAAAGUUAGAGGCUCGAAGGCGAUCAGAUACCGCCCUAGUUCUAACCNUAANNGANNUCNACCGGCGAUCNNNGAGCGUUCCUCGAUAAGACGCUGCCGGCAACCCCCGGGAAACCUGAGAGACCUUGGGUUCCGGGGGAAGUACGGUUGCAAAGCUGAAACUUAAAGGAAUUGACGGAAGGGCACCACCAGGAGUGGAGCCUGCGGCUUAAUUUGACUCAACACGGGGAACCUCACCCGGUCCGGACACUGAAAGGAUUGACAGAUUGAGAGCUCUUUCUCGAUCCAGUGGAUGGUGGUGCAUGGCCGUUCUUAGUUGGUGGAGCGAUUUGUCUGGUUAAUUCCGAUAACGAACGAGACUCUGGCCUACUAAAUAGACGACGGAUCCCGCGGGGUCCGUCUCCAAGAUCUUCUUAGAGGGACAGACGGCUAUCAGCCGUACGAGAUAGAGCAAUAACAGGUCUGUGAUGCCCUUAGAUGUCCGGGGCCGCACGCGGGCUACACUGGAGGAGACGGUAGGCGUGAGUCCCCGCGUUCCGACAGGAACGGGCAACCCUCCGAAUCUCCUCCGUGAAAGGGACCGGGGCUUGAAAAGCGCCCGCGAACGAGGAAUUCCCAGUAGGUACGAUUCAUCACAUCGUACCGAUUACGUCCCUGCCCUUUGUACACACCGCCCGUCGCUACUACCGAUCGAACGAUUUAGCGAGGUCUUCGGACUGGGGGCCUGGCGCGCCGUUGCGAACGCGACCCCCUUCGCGGGGGGCCCCCGCGUCUCUCGGUGCGACUGUCAGCAACCCGGAAAGAUGACCGAACUCGCCCGCUUAGAGGAAGUAAAAGUCGUAACA
rnacentral:rRNA from 1 species